rnacentral:rRNA from 1 species
GACGAACGCUGGCGGCGUGCCCAAUACAUGCAAGUCGAACGCAGUGGGGGCGGGUGAGUAACACGUGGGUAACCUCCCAGCAGAGCGGAUAACACUUGGAAACAGGUGCUAAACCGAGACUGUUGGAUGGACCCGCGGGGCAUUAGCUAGUUGGUGAGGUAACGGCUCACCAAGGCCACGAUGCAUAGCCGACCGGAGCGGGUGAUGGGCAACACUGCGACUGAGACGCGGCCCAGACUCCUACGGGAGGAAGCAGUAGGGAAUCGUCGGAGAUGGGCGAAAGUCUGACCCAGCGAAGCCGCGUGAGUGAAGAGGGUGCUCGGCUCGUAAAACUCUGUUGUCAGAGAAGGGUUAUCUAACCAGAAGGCCACGACUAACUACGUGCCCGCAGCCGCGGUAAUUC